AUUGAACGCUGGCGGCAGGCCUAACACAUGCAAGUCGAACGAGUGGCGGACGGGUGAGUAAUGUCUGGGAAACUGCCUGAUGGAGGGGGAUAACUACUGGAAACGGUAGCUAAUACCGCAUACCAUCAGAUGUGCCCAGAUGGGAUUAGCUAGUUGGGGGGGUAAGGGCUCACCUAGGCGACGAUCCCUAGCUGGGCUGAGAGGAUGACGACCAACACUGGAAUUGAGAAACGGUCCAGACCCCUACGGAAGGCAGCAGUGGGGAAUAUGGCACAAUGGGCGCAAGUCUGAUGCAGCCAUGCCGCGUGUAUGAAGAAGGCCUUCGGGUUGUAAAGUACUUUCAGCGGGGAGGCGUUACCCGCAGAAGAAGCACCGGCUAACUCCGUGCCAGCAGCCGCGGUAAUUC
rnacentral:rRNA from 1 species